rnacentral:tRNA from 1 species
GGGCUAUUAGCUCAGUGGUAGAGCGCGCUCUUGAUAA